rnacentral:rRNA from 1 species
GCUUAGAGUUUGAUCCUGGCUCAGAUUGAACGCUGGCGGCAUGCUUUACACAUGCAAGUCGAACGGUAACAGGUCUUCGGAUGCUGACGAGUGGCGAACGGGUGAGUAAUACAUCGGAACGUGCCUAGUAGUGGGGGAUAACUACUCGAAAGAGUAGCUAAUACCGCAUGAGAUCUACGGAUGAAAGCAGGGGACCUUCGGGCCUUGUGCUACUAGAGCGGCUGAUGGCAGAUUAGGUAGUUGGUGGGGUAAAGGCUUACCAAGCCUGCGAUCUGUAGCUGGUCUGAGAGGACGACCAGCCACACUGGGACUGAGACACGGCCCAGACUCCUACGGGAGGCAGCAGUGGGGAAUUUUGGACAAUGGGCGAAAGCCUGAUCCAGCAAUGCCGCGUGCAGGAUGAAGGCCCUCGGGUUGUAAACUGCUUUUGUACGGAACGAAAAGCCUGGGGCUAAUAUCCCCGGGUCAUGACGGUACCGUAAGAAUAAGCACCGGCUAACUACGUGCCAGCAACCGCGGUAAUACGUAGGGUGCAAGCGUUAAUCGGAAUUACUGGGCGUAAAGCGUGCGCAGGCGGUUUUGUAAGACAGUGGUGAAAUCCCCGGGCUCAACCUGGGAACUGCCAUUGUGACUGCAAGGCUAGAGUGCGGCAGAGGGGGAUGGAAUUCCGCGUGUAGCAGCGAAAUGCGUAGAUAUGCGGAGGAACACCGAUGGCGAAGGCAAUCCCCUGGGCCUGCACUGACGCUCAUGCACGAAAGCGUGGGGAGCAAACAGGAUUAGAUACCCUGGUAGUCCACGCCCUAAACGAUGUCAACUGGUUGUUGGGUCUUAACUGACUCAGUAACGAAGCUAACGCGUGAAGUUGACCGCCUGGGGAGUA